AGCUUCAACCCACGCGGGCCAUCGUCGUAUUCCUAUUCCUAUUCUCUUUCGAUUUUCAUUGUAUUUACAUAGAUUUCUCUCUCUCUCUCUCUCUCUCUCCCUACUUUCUCUCAGGUCUUCUACUUCGACGUCGGCGAGAAUAGAAGGGGUCGUUUCCUCAAGGCAUUCCUGGACCAUGGAAUACCAGAGAGUCAUGAAAUGGUUGUUGCCCUGAUGCAAAAGGUAUGGAAUAUUAUAGUAUCAAAGUUUUGCUGGAUUGUCAUUUUCUUGCGGUGUAAUACAUUGUUAAUUUUUGCUCUGUAUUUAUAUGUUGGUUGUGGGUUUUCAUCUGCAGAUGCUAUAUACAGUUGUAUGAUUCCCCUCCAAAGUCAACCACUGAGAAAGACGAUGAGAUGUCCAAGUUGCCUCCUUCUCAGAAAAAGAAAAUGAGGCAAAAAUUGAGAAAAGCAUAGGCUCGAGCUAAGAAUGUAAUGUUUCUGACUUCUGUAUCUUUUCGGACGAUUCCCCUACAUUUAUUUUUAUCCUAAUGUUUAGCAUUCUUUUAGGAGGCUGAAGGUAAAAAUGAAGAAUCCAAUGCUAAUAGUGUCUCAAAUGAUAUGCGAUAGUUUAACAAAUUUGUUGGUUAAAUGUCCAUUGCCAUGACUUGAGAUAAUGACAAGUGAUAUGCGAUAGUUCAACA